rnacentral:rRNA from 1 species
AGUAGUUUCGAUCCUGGCUCGAGGACGAACGCUGGCGGCCGUGCCUAACACAUGCAAAGUCGAAACGAGAAUCUAUGGGAAAGAGGGCUUCGGCCAAUUGAAGGUAGAGGACAGUGGCGGACGGGUGAGUAACGCGUGAGCAACCUGCCUCGGGAGUGGGGGACAACAGGGGGAAACCUCUGCUAAUACCGCAUAAUGUCAUUGGGUGGCAUCACUUAAUGACCAAAGAUUUAUUGCUCUGAGAUGGGCUCGCGUCUGAUUAGGUAGUUGGUGAGGUAACGGCUCACCAAGCCUACGAUCAGUAGCCGGGUUGAGAGACUGAACGGCCACAUUGGGACUGAGAUACGGCCCAGACUCCUACGGGAGGCAGCAGUGGGGGAAUAUUGGGCAAUGGGCGAAAGCCUGACCCAGCAACGCCGCGUGAAGGAAGAAGGCUUUCGGGUUGUAAACUUCUUUUACCAGGGACGAAGGACGUGACGGUACCUGGAGAAAAAGCUCCGGCUAACUACGUG